UAAUACAGAGGUCUCAAGCGUUAAUCGGAGUUACUGGGCUUAAAGGGUGCGUAGGCGGCGCUGUAAGUGCUUUGUGAAAUCCCAUGGCUUAACCAUGGAAUUGCUCGGCAGACUGCAGCGCUUGAGGUUGGUAGGGGUCGCUGGAACUCUAGGUGGAGCGGUGAAAUGCGUAGAUAUCUAGAGGAACGCCAAAGGUGUAGACAGGCGACUGGGCCAAUUCUGACGCUGAGGCACGAAAGCGUGGGUAGCGAACGGGAUUAGAUACCCCGGUAGUCCACGCCCUAAACGAUGUGCACUAGAUCGUGGAGGCUCUGACGCCAUCAUGGUCGAAGUUAAAAUGCUAAGUGCACCGCCUGGGGAGUACGGUCGCAAGGCUA
rnacentral:rRNA from 1 species